CACAUGCAAGUCGAGGGGCAGCAUGGUCUUAGCUUGCUAAGGCCGAUGGCGACCGGCGCACGGGUGAGUAACACGUAUCCAACCUGCCGUCUACUCUUGGACAGCCUUCUGAAAGGAAGAUUAAUACAAGAUGGCAUCAUGAGUCCGCAUGUUCACAUGAUUAAAGGUAUUCCGGUAGACGAUGGGGAUGCGUUCCAUUAGAUAGUAGGCGGGGUAACGGCCCACCUAGUCUUCGAUGGAUAGGGGUUCUGAGAGGAAGGUCCCCCACAUUGGAACUGAGACACGGUCCAAACUCCUACGGGAGGCAGCAGUGAGGAAUAUUGGUCAAUGGGCGAGAGCCUGAACCAGCCAAGUAGCGUGAAGGAUGACUGCCCUAUGGGUUGUAAACUUCUUUUAUAAAGGAAUAAAGUCGGGUAUGGAUACCCGUUUGCAUGUACUUUAUGAAUAAGGAUCGGCUAACUCCGUGCCAGCAGCCGCGGUAAUACGGAGGAUCCGAGCGUUAUCCGGAUUUAUUGGGUUUAAAGGGAGCGUAGAUGGAUGUUUAAGUCAGUUGUGAAAGUUUGCGGCUCAA
rnacentral:rRNA from 1 species